GGGGUGGGGGUGGGGGUGGGGGGGGGGGGCUGGUUCUUGCGGGCUCUCGCUUUUAGUGUAAUGUUGAGUAAAGUGGUUCAUACACGUUCUUAAGGUUCACGGUGGUUUAAGGAGCCAAACUGCUCCGGUUUGCAGGAAAUUCCUCAAGACCCGGUGGGAAUCUGCUGUCGUGACGCAGUGAAGUCACCUAAUGAGAGAGUUCACCAGACCAGAGGAAACAGUACGUGCAGCGGGGUCCUGACGAACACAUUGCUUCAUUCUCCUUAAAUCCUCCUUGCUUUAUUACAGACGCAAUCCCUGGAUCAGCCUUCCGAGCUCCUUGAGAGCAAAGGCCCAAGGUUCUAUUUCUUUGUCACAUCCCAGCGUCUGGCACAUGAGGUGCUCAUUACGUUGUUGAAAUAGUGAACUGGUAAACCCAGAAACAACUCGUGUGUGUGUGUGUGUGUGUGGGUGUGUGCGCGCGCGUGCGGCCCAAAGUCCAGGGUGGGCAUGCGUGUUGGCCAUUUCCCGUUACACAAGAAUUAGGCCAGCAAAAUUCUUCGCUAAUACCAAGAUGUAAGUUUGUUGAGAUGCAGGAAUAGAGUGACUAGGAUGCCUUGGGGAUGGUAGGUGCUCGGCAAUUACAAAUACUCGAAUUUUCAGUGUUUUCCGAUGGGCCUGCCGGGCACCCUUCUAAGUACUUUAUUUUUAUCAAGUCAUUUAAUCCUCAGGACAGGCUUCUUACCCUAUUUCACAGAGGAGGGAACUGAAGCCUAAAGUUCAGUAAUUUGCCCAAGGUCAGGCAACUAACAGCAGAAUCCAGAAUAAAGAAAUGCAGGCAGCAUGGAGCCAGAGUGGGUGUUCUUGAUGCUAAAUCUUCUUAGGCUGCUAGACUAAAUAAAGUAACUAGGGAAGCAGUAGAGUUUCAAGUCUGUGAGGAUAUUCAGUGAAACGUGUGAAGUUGAAGAGGUUUAUUUAUUUUUAAAGAUUUUAUUUAUCCAUGAAAGAGAGGCAGAGACAGGCAGAGGGAGAAGCAGGCUCCCUGCAGGACUCGAUCCCAGGACCCCCGGAUCAUGACCUGAGCUGAAGGCAGAUGUUCAACCACUGAGCCACCCAGGUGUCCCAAAGGGGUUUAAUACCCAAACUAAAGACCUGAAAUUUACUAAGAUUGUAAUUUGAAUGAAUUAAUUCCCAAGUGAUUGUCGGUAACUGGAGCUACUGUCAGCUCCUCCUGGGGCAUAUGUGUCCCGGCUAGGUGAUUUGGGAAGUUUUCUAGAUUGCCAUCAUCAGGUAUCUCAGGAAGGAGAUGAGCAGAGAAACAUGCACAUUGCAGAUGUGCCCUCAGAGAGAAGCCUUUUUUUUUUUUUUUUUUUUUUUUUUUUUUUGAAUCUCUUAUCUUGAACUCUGCUCUGACCUCCAGCUGAAAUGGGACAUGGCAGUUUUUAAGAGUCAUUGAGAGUCUUAGAUUCAGCUCCGUUGUGAUGGACUUUGAAUACCCUUGAAUAAAGAUAGUAAAGCAGGCAACUGGCUCUUUCAGGUUCUCCCUGUAUUUAUGGCCUACUUCUUAGUUUUGGGGAAAUAUUAUUACUAUGCCACAAAUCCUCUGUAAACUGAAUAUGGGUAUAGAGUAGGACUCUUGGAAAUUUACACAGCUUUCCCAACUGUUAUUUCUAUUCAUAAUUUACAAAAACAAAAACUCAAAAUACAAAAGUGUGAUUCAAUAAGACUCAAAUCCAGGUGACUCUAAAACCUCUACAUUUUCCUCCACAGAGUAAAUUCCAUGUUAAUUUCUGUGGUUGGCCCCCCCCAGUCCUGUGGUUCCUCACAUAAUGCAUAUACUGGUGUUUUGCUCUGCUGAAGGGUUAAAGGAAAUAUUCUGUCCUCUGCCUUGCCUGUUCGCUUCCAAAGUCCCUUCUCCCCACAGCAUGGAGGAAACCUUUGCAACAGGGAGGCCCCUAAGACUGUGUUUCAGCCUGAGGUCAGCGAGGUGCAAUGUAUCUGUUCCACAAAGUAAGUGUUCCAUGGGUGCUUUCUUUAUACAGUUAUUAACACUAGGCUGUGUCUUCAUGAUGCCACAGUCACUACAACAAUUACUUUAAGAGGCUAAUCUUAAACUCAUCAAACCCUGUGUUCAUUUUGAGGUUACAUAGAUGAGUCAAAGCCUGUGUGGCUUCACAUAUUCAACAUAUUCUUCAACAACUAGUUGUUGGGAUCCCUGGGUGGCGCAGCGGUUUGGCGCUUGCCUUUGGCCCAGGGCACGAUCCUGGAGACCCGGGAUCAAAUCCCACGUCGGGCUCCCGGUGCAUGGAGCCUGCUUCUCCCUCUGCCUGUGUCUCUGCCUCUCUGUCUCUCUCUGUGUGACUAUCAUGAAUAAAUAAAUAAAAUCUUUAAAAAAAAAAAAAACAACUAGUUGUUAACGGCUUAUAGCUAGUUUAUAUAUGCUCUCCAACAUGAGAUUGUAAGCCCUUAUCAGGACAGUUUUGCUAAAAUAGGGGAAUUGAAGUCUGUUAUAUGUGAGAUCCUAUGUGGUACCAACUAAAUCUAGCCAACAGCAGUUGUCUUAAAUGGCAGCAACUUGCUCAUUUCAGAGCCUUCUUAACAGCUGUGAGGGUCCACGCUCUCCUUAGUCUAUGUUUACAAGCUUGUCAGGGGCAGAAAAGCAAGGUGUGUGAGGGGCUAUGGCAGAGUGUGAGAUAACUCGUCCAAAACAUCCUGAAGAUACCCUCAGCUGAAUACCGAGUGUCCAUUAUGACAGGUGAAAGCUGGAAGCCUUCUUGUGGAAUCUUCUGUUUACCCUCAGGCAGAAGUGUGAUUAAUCAAUCCAAACAUAAACAUCCACACACUUAAGAAAGAACAAACUCUAGGCAGGGAGAUUUAGCAUUCCCUGAAUAGCCUAUUUCGAUGUUUUGAAAGACUGAGGGAAUCUCUUCCAUUAACCUAAAUCCAUCAUGUGGCUGCUUGUACCAAUUCCCAAGAAGAGCUGGAAGACAUCUGGUGACCACAUCUGUGUUAAAACCCUCCAUGUCCUCUCAAACUAUUAUUAGAUUCAGGAUAAUUUGCCAUGUGCAGAAUUUCCCAUAAUAUUGGACUCCAGACUAAUCAUUCCUCUUGGCAAAAAAUGAUGGCACCAAUUAUUAGAACAUGACGGUUGUGAAUGAGCAAAAUAAAUUCAUCUAAAAUUAAUGACAUAUUGUAAUACAUUUUUUGGAAAGCUUUCAUGUAUGCUAAAUAAAAGAGUAGUUACAUA